GAAGAUCACUUUUGGUUGAGAACCACUUGUAUAAAAGGAAUCAUUAGAUUUUCUUAUUAUCAACUGUUGGAAACUAAUGUUUCCUUUUCUUUUCUCUCUUUCUUUUUUUUCUUUUUUUGUAGGAUAGCAGCCCUUCAUUUGUACCUAGUUUAUUGUUGUAAAAAUAUAUGUGAUGGAGACUGACACUGAGCACAGAAAGGACAAGAGUGGAAGAUGGUUUCAGAGAAGGUCUUCCCCAGUCAAGUGAAGCCAAGAAAUGAGAUGGUUGUCUGGAUAACUAAAGCAAAGUCUUCUUUUACCUUCAAUAACUGGUGAGAUUUAAGACAAAGCAUUUUUUUAAAAAAUAGUUUUUGUGGAUUACCCAAGUAAGUUUUAUCUGUCUUUAAUAUUAGCUUUGGGACCUGAAAGCAUCUGAAAUUGCUAUGUGCUUCAGGUAUUUUUGUGCUUUAUAAACUUUAUCCAAAUUGGUCUAAACCUUUUAGGGAGGCUUUUUUUUCCCCCCAAUCUCAGAAAAACUUCACUGAAUGUUGAAGACAGCGUUCAUGAAUUGUAAGCAGGAUCUCGGCGAAGGUUGAGGUGGAGGUCUGGCUCCUCCACCCGGACCUGACCUGCAGCUAACCUGGUCCAGGUGCUGCAGCACCUUUGUGACUUCCAGCAUGUGUUUUGAUUCAGCGUUCAGCCUGCAACGAAGUAGGGAAAGAACAAAGGACUGUUUGCUCCUCGAGCCCUAGUUGCUGACCAGGAAAGGGUGCGGUUUGUCAAGCGGAUGUGGACAGGGCACCGGCAGGAGGGAACAGGGUCAGCCGUGAAGGUGGGCGUUUGUGGCCAGAUUGUCAGUGUUGUUAAACAAAAUCCCUGAGACGACACUCCUCCUUCCCUCCUGGAAAUGUUCUGCCAGUGCGUGGAGUGUGGAGUGCGGAGUG
rnacentral:lncRNA from 13 species